AUGACUAUGAAAGCGAGGCGGUGUGGAAGUCUUGACAAUGACGAAUAUUGGGAUGUGGUGGUCGUGCCUGGGGAUGGUGAGUUGAUCGUGCUGGUCAAACUUGCCGGGUGGUUACUUCACAUUGACAUGGAUGGCAAGUUGGUCGCCAAUUUCCAUCGCCAAAGUGUUUGGCCUUCUCAAUUUCAGCUCAAGCAAUCUCUUUUCCCGCAUGCCUUCUUUCCAACACUAGAGGGCUAUGUUGUGAAUGAGGUGCCUUUCUUAUGA
rnacentral:rRNA from 1 species